rnacentral:rRNA from 1 species
AACCCGGUGAUCUAGCCAUGGGCAGGUUGAAGGUUGGGUAACACUAACUGGAGGACCGAACCGACUAAUGUUGAAAAAUUAGCGGAUGACUUGUGGCUGGGGGUGAAAGGCCAAUCAAACCGGGAGAUAGCUGGUUCUCCCCGAAAGCUAUUUAGGUAGCGCCUCGUGAAUUCAUCUCCGGGGGUAGAGCACUGUUUCGGCAAGGGGGUCAUCCCGACUUACCAACCCGAUGCAAACUGCGAAUACCGGAGAAUGUUAUCACGGGAGACACACGGCGGGUGCUAACGUCCGUCGUGAAGAGGGAAACAACCCAGACCGCCAGCUAAGGUCCCAAAGUCAUGGUUAAGUGGGAAACGAUGUGGGAAGGCCCAGACAGCCAGGAUGUUGGCUUAGAAGCAGCCAUCAUUUAAAGAAAGCGUAAUAGCUCACUGGUCGAGUCGGCCUGCGCGGAAGAUGUAACGGGGCUAAACCAUGCACCGAAGCUGCGGCAGCGACACUGUGUGU